GGUUCUCUGGUUCACUAGUAGAAUUCUUGCUUUGGGUUGUUAUUGCCCAUAUUUGUAAGAGGUCUUCGGUUCGAUCCCGGAGGGAACCC
rnacentral:tRNA from 1 species